AAAUCAGAUUCCUGUCCGUCAGUUGUGUUUUCGUUACUUGUUGCUGAGCAUGAGCAUUUUUUCUGUUUUGAAUCCGAAGGUACAGCUUGAGUUGAGUUUCAGGAGUUAGACUGGUUAUUUAACAAGAGAUCUCAAGAACUCAACUGAGAGUAGUAAAUAGAAGAUUUUUCGGAUUGAAAGGAGUUCUUGAAUCGAAGAAAGUAUACUCGAUACUCUCCUGCUCUUCAAGGGAUGAUUUUCCAUAUUUUGUGAACCCUAUUGGUUUAGUGCCAUGCUGAAGAAACACACAAUUCAUUUUUGAAGGCGUAACCAUCCUUUGGUAUAAUGGAAAUGCUUUCAACGAAGGAUGCUUCCACUGAAAAACACUAGCUAGAGGUGUAAUGGGGUGCUCGGCUAUCUGCGCCCUCAGAAAAUUUAUUAUAGCAGGAAAUUUCUACACCACCAAUAGGGCAACGCGAGGUGCUUCCACCUUCCGAGAAUAACUCAAGUGCGAUGGUGUGUUUUUGACUCGCAACCUAGUUUAAGGGAGAUUCUUAAUAAGCCAACUACCAGAAGUGUAAAAAAUAAUACAUAUUCGUCAGACCAGAUGCUGUUUGAAUGGCCAAGCACUAUUAAUACGUCUAUUCCUUCACGCCAGUAUUAGAUGGCGCUGAAUUCAGAGACUACAACAAACUUUAACAGUUCAUCUUUCACGACGACAAAUUAUGAGAAAAAGCAAACCAUAAACUAAGACGACUUCAGCCACGAAAACGCACACCGUCCUUCCAUAACAAGUAUAAUUAAACAUAACCCAGAACUCCUCGCAAAAUACACCCUCAUGUCACAUCCUUAACUCUCCACGCGCGCGCACACAAAGAUAUUUGCUAAAAACUUAAUAUACAGUCAUCUAAUGAUAAUUAUUGCAGUUCUUUAGCCCUUCUUUAUGUCAAGGACACAAAUGGUAGAAAUUAGACGAAAUGGACACCUAAGAACCUAGCUGGGCCCCUUUCUUAGAGAGCCCAGGUAUCAUAAGAGUUAAAGAAAGCACUUAAAACUCAAGAAAUCAGAAUGACCCACUCAAGUUUGAUAUUUACGUUUAGAAUAUAAUUUUACAGUUUCCACAUCAAAUAUCCAUUAACCUUUAAACCAAAUUUUCUCUAAGCCAUUAACAGCGGAUUUCACAUAAACUUCAAAACGCUCUACACACAUUCGAAGGUGUUCUUAAUCACAAUCAUUAUACAUUAAGCAAAAUUCACAUUACUUACAUUACACAGGUCAUGACAAAUUUGGUAUUUAAAAAACUGCAAACUCAUUAAAAAUUGUACCAUAACCUGUACAUUCGACAUUACAAUCCCCUACAACAUGAGAUUAUGAUAAAUUAAAAAAACUUAAGAUCUUAACGACCUUGAGGCUUUUAACCAACCUAAGGCGUGGCAUGACAAUUAUUGCUUUGAACUUGACUGGAUAAAAAAUGUACUUUAACAAGACUGGUGGGAAACACUAAAGGUGCGUCCACACUAUCGAAACAAUGUCCGACGGACAAACAUUGUUACCAUAUCAUAGGCGAAGCAGGAUGACGUCAUAAGCGUUGAAACGAUGGAAGCAGAUCUGGCAACAAACAGUGGUACCAGAUGAGGCUGUAUAACACUGCUUUUACUCUGCUCACAAGGCAAAGACCGUCACACAAUUGUUAAUUGGUAACAAUGUUUGUCCGUCGGACAUUGUUCGACCGUGUGAACGCAGCUUUAGUGGACUAAAAUCAGACAUAUUGACCUACAAAGGCUAGAAACAUUUUAACAGUACAUUAUAGAGUUCACACACU